CAGCCGCCGCGGUAAUACGUAGGUGGCGAGCGUUGUCCGGAAUUAUUGGGCGUAAAGGGCUCGCAGGCGGUUUCUUAAGUCUGAUGUGAAAGCCCCCGGCUCAACCGGGGAGGGUCAUUGGAAACUGGGAAACUUGAGUGCAGAAGAGGAGAGUGGAAUUCCACGUGUAGCGGUGAAGUGCGUAGAGAUGUGGAGGAACACCAGUGGCGAAGGCGACUCUCUGGUCUGUAACUGACGCUGAGGAGCGAAAGCGUGGGGAGCGAACAGGAUUAGAUACCCGAGUAGUCCCUGUCUCUUAUAC
rnacentral:rRNA from 1 species